GCCGGGGUGGCGGAAUUGGUAGACGCAAGGGACUUAAAAUCCCUCGGGGGAAACCCCGUGCCGGUUCGAUUCCGGCCCUCGGCACCA
rnacentral:tRNA from 1 species